rnacentral:rRNA from 1 species
UACGGGGGGAGCAAGCGUUGUUCGGAUUUACUGGGCGUAAAGGGCGCGUAGGCGGUCGUGACAAGUCACUUGUGAAAUCCCCCGGCUCAACUGGGGAACUGCACAGGAAACUAGCGGGCUUGAGUUCGGGAGAGGGAAGCGGAAUUCCGGGUGUAGCGGUGAAAUGCGUAGAUAUCCGGAGGAACACCGGUGGCGAAGGCGGCUUCCUGGACCGACACUGACGCUGAGGCGCGAAAGCUAGGGGAGCAAACGGG